UAAGACAACACCUUCCAUAUCCUCACCAAAGUCACGUAGAUGCCGCUUGGAUUCGCUGCCCGUAUCCACAGCCGACGCCCUCUCUCCUCCCCGUCCAACUUCUCGAUAGAUAGCAUCCUUUGGCCAAGCCGAAGUUCUUAUUAGCCUCUCCGCCUUAUCUUUACUCGUCCAGUUUGUGGGCUGGAGAUUGUUUGAAGGACGGCGUCCAUGGAUGGGAAUUUCGGUCCAACCGAGCAAAUUCUUUGGCCAAUAUCUGUCUUCUCUGGCAUCAUCAUGUGCAAGAUUGUAUACAAAAUUACAUGUGAGUUCAGCUUGAGGUACUUUAAGGCCUAUAACAAGCUAAGCAAAAUACAAAAGGUUGAAUGGAACAAUAGGGGUUUCUCCACAAUUCAUGCAGUUCUUGCUGCAACAAUUUCUUUCUAUUUGGUAGUGAUAUCAGACCUUUUCAAGGAUGGUUCUCAUGAAGAGCUCAUGAUAGAUAGAAAAUCGGUGUUAUCUGACACCAUAUUUGGGAUAUCUCUUGGUUACUUUCUCUCAGACUUGGUGAUGAUUCUAAGGUUUUUCCCUUAUUUAGGUGGCAAGGAAUAUGUCUUGCAUCAUGGGCUUUCCAUGUAUUCAAUUAUUCUUUCCUUGAUAAGUGGCAAGGCACAUAUUUACAUACUCAUGGUUUUAUUUUCAGAAGCUACAACUCCCUUUGUAAAUUUCAGAUGGUACUUGGACAUUGCUGGGCAGAAAAGUUCUAAUCUGUACAUUUACAAUGGCAUGGCCUUGUUCCUUGGGUGGCUGGUUGCAAGGAUCCUACUGUUCAUCUAUUUUUUCACCCAUAUGUAUUUUCAUUUUGAUCAGGUAUGCUGCAGAUCAUCUUCUUCAAAUUAAGCUGAUUAGGAAAUUCAAUAUGUGAGAUUGAUCAUUGGCAGUGGAAACUUAAGCAGCAGUGCAGCAGUAGUGACAUGCACAUUGUCCUUCUAAAGCAUUCAAUGAACACAUAACACAAUAUGACUUGAACCCAAGGUGAAGACAAUAUUUCCUCUUGGGCAAUAUAGUUUGGUGACUGUUCCACCUUUGCUGGCAUUAAUGAAUGUGUUUUGGUUUUGGAAAAUAUUCAAAGGCCUGAUGAAGACUCUCUCAAAAAUGAGGCACUCCCAAUGAUGGUAGCAUCGCCUUUUGCUUUUCAAUUCCACUCUCCUCCCAUUUAGUAUUUUUAUUUUUGCAGAUGUUCAUGCCAUUGUUGUGAUUUUUUUCCACUUUUUUGGUAAGCCAACCACCAUGUAUCUUGUGUAAGUAUGAACCAUGUACCUCUUCUCUGAAGUCACAUGAAGGAUUCAGUAACAGGUGAUUCCAGAGAAGUUUCAGAAGAAUAUAAGAAAUUCAUGCCACUUGUUGUAAAGUUGGUGAAUGA